UCGUCGCGGCGCGCGAACGCGCGUCGUCGGGCGGGCCCCUCCGGCCGAUCGGGGAGAACCUCCCGACUGAUCGGGCCACGGGCCGCUCAACCUGGUGGGGGCCCGUGGUGGUGUUACCAAUCGAACCUGGAAACCCGCCCUGAAGCGUCGUCCGACUCGAGGGCGAAAGCCCGGUCGGCAGGAACACUCGAAAGACAACUCUCAACAACGGAUAUCUUGGCUCCCGUAACGAUGAAGAACGCAGCGAAAUGCGAUACGUAGUGUGAAUUGCAGAAUUCCGUGAAUCAUCGAGUCUUUGAACGCAAAUUGCGCCCGAGGUUUCGGCCGAGGGCAUGCCUGCCUCAGCGUCGUUCCAACCCCUCUCCCACCCUUUCGGCUUCCGGCCGGAUGGGGGGAGGAUCUGGUCGUUCCGAUCCACACGAUCGGAUCGGCCGAAAUGCAGAAGGGCCCGCGCUCGAAAGGGCCGCCGACAGGUAGUCGAAGCCAUCGGCGGUCGAGUGUCGGAGGACCCUCCCACAGUCGGAGAACCUCACGGCUUUGACCUGAGUUCAGGCAAGGGCACCCGCUGAACUUAAGCAUAUCAAUAAGCGGAGGAAAAGAAACUAACCAGG
rnacentral:rRNA from 1 species